UACGUAGGGUGCGAGCGUUUGUCCGGAAUUAUUGGGCGUAAAGGGCUCGUAGGCGGUUUGUCGCGUCGGGAGUGAAAACCUCGGGCUUAACUCGGGGCUUGCUUUCGAUACGGGCAGACUAGAGGUAUGCAGGGGAGAACGGAAUUCCUGGUGUAGCGGUGAAAUGCGCAGAUAUCAGGAGGAACACCGGUGGCGAAGGCGGUUCUCGUGGGCAUGAUCUGACGCUGAGGAGCGAAAGUGUGGGGAGCGAACAGG
rnacentral:rRNA from 1 species